AGGGUAAACGCUGGCGGCGUGCCUAAAACAUGCAAGUCGAACGAGUCGUCUUCGGACGGCGAGUGGCAGACGGCUGAGUAACGCGUGGGUGACGUACCCGUAGGUGGGGAAUAACUGCCCGAAAGGGUGGCUAAGACCGCAUACGCCCGUGGAUUCGAGACCAUGGGGAAAAACCUCCUGUGACAAGGAGGUUGCCGAUGGAGCGGCCCGCGUUCGAUUAGCUGGUUGGUGGGGUAACGGCCUACCAAGGCGACGAUCGAUAGCUGGUCUUAGAGGAUGAUCAGCCAGACUGGGACUGAGACACGGCCCAGACUCCUACGGGAGGCAGCAGUUAGGAAUUUUGGGCAAUGGGCGAAAGCCUGACCCAGCAACGCCGCGUGGGUGACGAAGGCCUUCGGGUUGUAAAGCCCUUUUCUGGGGGAAGAUAGUGACGGUACCCCAGGAAGAAGCACCGGCUAACUACGUGCCAGCAGCCGC
rnacentral:rRNA from 1 species